CGCCUGAUCUCGCAAAUGAUAAAACCUUAACCCUCGGAGUCCCAAACGCGAGUGAGAGCAGAUCUGAGAAAAUGAGAGAUGUGAAACACAGAGAGGGUCUAGAAACCCUAACAAUGGCAUUGUCUCUGUGAUCGGAGCCUUCGUUGUAGAUCAGAGACAUGAGCGUGAAGAAAGAGAGAGACGACGGGGCAUGAAGAAAAGCUCCUCCAAUGCGAUUCUUGUUUUGCGAGGUUUAACGCCUCGAUGACCACCAUUGAUCCACGAUCGGAUCCGUUCAAGAGCUCACCGUUGACAUCGCGUAGUAAUUAACACCAAGACCAGAGAUCUGAUGGGGUUAGGUACACUCCCUGUCUGCUUGCUCAAGAUGCGAUCGGGCGCGAUGUGGAUUGAUAGAGGCACUGACAGCGGGCCUUCCAUAUCUUUAAGGUAUUCUUUUUGGUAGUAAAAUGGUUAUUAAUGUACAAAUGUCGUAAUAGAGUAUUUUAAAAUGUUUCUUCAGGAUGUUGUGUUCUGGUUUGCGAUCUUUAACAUUCAGUGGUUAUCCCACACCAAAGUUCUUCCUAUGAGUUGCAGCAUCUUGCAUUUUAAAUAAAAGAACCUGUUGUUCUAUGUUCUUUUUUGUUAUUGACAUAACAAACUGUUCUUCCUAUCAUUCCCACUUGUUACAUUUGAACUUUAAUUUUUUUAUUCUAUGGUAUUUUUUAUAUGCUUUUAUAUUACUACCUUUCAAGUU